GCGGUGAUGAGCAGCUCUGUUGCAGAUCAUACCCCUGGAUACCUUCAAGAAAAAAAGCAUCUGUUUGGCCUUGAAUUAAGUUAUUUGGUCUCUGAUUGUUGCUCUGCACCUCUCCCUGCACAAAACCCCGGAGAAAGGGAAGCAAACAUUGGCUCCCAGAGAACUAUGAGGAAACUGAGAGCUGAGAGAAGUUAAGUCACUUUACCCAAGGGCACAAAGCCUAUGAAUGGAAAGCUAGGAUUUGAUCCCUGGUUUGUAUGAUUUCAAUAGUAGUGCUUUUAACUACUACAUAGUUGUCACCCCUUUCUUUUCUUCUAGGGUCCCUCCCUGACCACAAAUAUAAUAUAAUGUCAGGAAUUCCUUAUACUAUCCCCUAGCUACCUAGGAACUAAAACUACAGUAACCAUCUAUGCCUGUCCUCCAGAGUAAUGCCCCAUUGUACAAAAUUUCCCAUAUUAUCUAAUAUCUCCCCAUGGAACUCUGGGUUUCCCAUCAAAUCUUUCAAUAAAAUUAUGGCUUUAAAUAAUAAAAAUCAUUUCAGGUCCUCCUAAUACUAAUUGAUAAAUUUUUCUUGUAUAUAUCCACCUACCCACAUAAACACGCAUCCUCUUAUUCUACUAGUUCACCUAUAUUGAGUACUUACUAUGUGCCAGACAUCAAGUUAAUCACUUCACAUGAAUCUUCUCAUGUGCUUCUCCACAGUAACCCUAUGAGGUAGCUGCUAUUAUUACAUCUGUUUUACACAUGAGAAAACUGAAGCUCAGAAAAGCUCCAAAGUUCAGAAAAGCUCCAAGCAAGUGGAGGAGUUAGGGUUUGAAUUCAGAUGUGUUUCACUUGAGAGCCCAAACCCCUAAACCACUACAUUCUACUUCCCCUUUUCUUAACAGUGAUAAGUCAUGUUGAUCGUACAUACCAGUCAUAUAAUGUGGUCAAAAUAGCCCUUUACUUCUGUGGAGUUCCUCCCAAAUCCCACAGCCCCAGCAUAAUUAUGAGAAAAACAUAAUACGAAUAUCAGUGGAGGAACUUUCUAAAAAAUACCUAACCAGUACUCCCCAAAACUGUCAAGGUCAUGAAAAAGAAGGAAAAAAUUCCAGGUGACAUCUAUGAAAAUGAUGGAGUAGGGAACUCCUGUGAAAGUUCUCAGAAUCAAAAUGGAGUCACUGUGGAAAAAAAAAAUGACAAAUAGAGCCAGGGAAGACCAUGAAGGGAGGAUUCUCAUGCAUAAAUGACAGAUAACAAGAACUUUCAGAAAAGACUGCAAAAACCACAACCUUGCACAAAGGCCAUCACAACCUCACACACACAAAAAUACUUCUGCAAGGAUAUCUGCCCAUCAGCUGCCUGUCCAGCCUUGGAGUGAUGCCACCCUUGUUACUGAUCCUUGUAGCCAAGGAUAAGUAUCUCCAAACAAUUAAGUAAUCCUCAUUUUUCUUUUAAAAACUUUGUCUUCAUCUACCUCCCCAAAAACGCACAUAGUUUACUAGGAC
rnacentral:lncRNA from 1 species